UUCGACCAUAUCUCAUGAAAAGACCAGUUCUUGUAAGAUCACAGAAUUUAAGCAACGCCGAGCCUGGUCAGUACCUAGAUGGGUGACCACUUCGGAAUACCAGAUGCUGUA